GAUGAACGCUGGCGGCGUGCUUAACACAUGCAAGUCGAACGAGAAGUGAAGACGGAAACCUUCGGGCGGAAGACUUUAUUUCGAGUGGCGGACGGGUGAGUAACGCGUGGGUAACCUGCCUCAUACAGGGGGAUAACAGUUGGAAACGACUGUUAAUACCGCAUAAGACCACAGCACCGCAUGGUGCGGGGGUAAAAACUCCGGUGGUAUGAGAUGGACCCGCGUUCGAUUAGCCAGUUGGCGGGGUAACGGCCCACCAAAGCGACGAUCGAUAGCCGAUCUGAGAGGAUGACCGGCCACAUUGGGACUGAGACACGGCCCAAACUCCUACGGGAGGCAGCAGUGGGGAAUAUUGCACAAUGGGGGAAACCCUGAUGCAGCGACGCCGCGUGAGUGAAGAAGUAUUUCGGUAUGUAAAGCUCUAUCAGCAGGGAAGAAAAUGACGGUACCUGAGUAAGAAGCCCCGGCUAACUACGUGCCAGCAGCCGCGGUAAUACGUAGGGGGCAAGCGUUAUCCGGAUUUACUGGGUGUAAAGGGAGCGCAGACGGCUCUGCAAGUCUGAAGUGAAAGCCCGCGGCUUAACCGCGGGACUGCUUUGGAAACUGCAGGGCUUGAGUAUCGGAGGGGCAGGCGGAAUUCCUAGUGUAGCGGUGAAAUGCGUAGAUAUUAGGAAGAACACCGGUGGCGAAGGCGGCCUGCUGGACGAAAACUGACGUUGAGGCUCGAAGGCGUGGGGAGCAAACAGG
rnacentral:rRNA from 1 species